rnacentral:lncRNA from 1 species
AGAGUCAUUGUGGGGGAGGGGGUGGGCCAGCCAGGGCAGGCAGGGACAGCCCCCCUGAUGAGGAGGCCACUGGGCUGAGACCAAUGAAUGAGACGGAGCCAGCCACGUGGGCUUGAGUCUGGGGGAGCCUGGCUGCCCAGAGGUGGCAGAUGACAUGAAGAAAUACCCAUGUAAGGGCUGGCUGUGUAUGAGAGCAAGCAUUGGGAAGGAUGAAUGCCAACUAUGUUCCAGGAACUUCCACUGUUCUCAUACACCCAGGGGAGUGGUGUUCAGGUGGGUGGCACCCAGGUGAGUGACAUCCCAGUUGAGUGGCACCCAGGUGAGUAGCAUCCAGGUGAGUGACACCUAGGUGAGUGACAUUCAGGUUAGUGGCGUCUGUGUGAGUGGCAUCAUCCAGGUGAGUAGCUUCCAGGUGAGUGGCACCCAGGUGAGUGGCAUUCGGGUGAGUGGCAUUAUCCAGGUAACACCUGGGUGAGUGGCAUCCAGGUGAGUGAUAUCAUCCAGGUAAGUGGCACCUAGGUGACAUCCAGGUGAGUGACGACAUCCAGGUGAGUGACAUCGUCCAGGUAAAUGGCACCCAGGUGAGUAGCAUUCAGGUGAGUGACACCCAGGCGAGUGGCAUCCACGUGACUAGCAUUGUCCAGGUGCAUAACACCCAGGUGAGUGGCACCCAGUUGAGUGGUGCCCAAGUGAGUCACAUCCAGGUAAGUGGGGUCCAGG